rnacentral:rRNA from 16 species
CGGACAAGGGGAAUCCGACUGUUUAAUUAAAACAAAGCAUUGUGAGGGCCAGAGAUGGUGUUGACACAAUGUGAUUUCUGCCCAGUGCUCUGAAUGUCAAAGUGAAGGAAUUCAACCAAGCGCGGGUAAACGGCGGGAGUAACUAUGACUCUCUUAAGGUAGCCAAAUGCCUCGUCGACUGAUUAUUGACGCGCAUGAAUGGAUCAACGAGAUUCCUGCUGUCCCUAGAUGCUGGCUGGUGAACCAACCGCCAAGGGAACGGGCUUGGGUGUUCCAGCGGGGAAAGAAGACCCUGUUGAGUUUGACCC